rnacentral:rRNA from 1 species
AGAGUUUCAUCCUGGCUCAGGAUGAACGCUAGCGGCAGGCCUAACACCUGCAAGUCGAGGGGUAACAGGGGAGCUUGCUCCCGCUGACGACCGGCGCACGGGUGCGGAACGCGUAUGGAACCUACCUCAAUCAGGGGGAUAGCCCAGGGAAACUUGGAUUAAUACCCCAUAGUAUUGUUUUAUUGCAUGAUAGAACAAUUAAAACUUCGGUGGAUUGAGAUGGCCAUGCGGAUCAUUAGCUAGUUGGUAAGGUAACGGCUUAUCAAGGCGACGAUGAUUAGGGGCCCUGAGAGGGGGAUCCCCCACACUGGUACUGAGACACGGACCAGACUCCUACGGGAGGCCAGUGAGGAAUAUUGGAGACAAUGGAGGCAACUCUGAGCCAGCCAUGCCGCGUGCAGGAAGACUGCCCUAUGGGUUGUAAACUGCUUUUAUACGGGAAGAAACCCUCCCACGUGUGGGGGGCUGACGGUACCGUAAGAAUAAGCAUCGGCUAACUCCGUGCCAGCAGCCGCGGUAAUACGGAGGAUGCAAGCGUUAUCCGGAAUCAUUGGGUUUAAAGGGUCCGUAGGCGGACGAUUAAGUCAGGGGUGAAAGUUUGCAGCUCAACUGUAAAAUUGCCCUUGAUACUGGUUGUCUUGAGUUAUAGUGAAGUUGCCGGAAUAUGUAGUGUAGCGGUGAAAUGCAUAGAUAUUACAUAGAACACCGAUUGCGAAGGCAGGUGACUAACCAUAUACUGACGCUGAUGGACGAAAGCGUGGGGAGCGAACAGGAUUAGAUACCCUGGUAGUCCACGCCGUAAACGAUGGAUACUAGCUGUUCGGUCUUCGGACUGAGCGGCCAAGCGAAAGUGAUAAGUAUCCCACCUGGGGAGUACGUUCGCAAGAAUGAAACUCAAAGGAAUUGACGGGGGCCCGCACAAGCGGUGGAGCAUGUGGUUCAAUUCGAUGAUACGCGAGGAACCUUACCAGGGCUUAAAUGUAGAUUGACAGGGCCAGAGAUGGCUUUUCCUUCGGACAAUUUGCAAGGUGCUGCGUGGUUGUCGUCAGCUCGUGCCGUGAGGUGUCAGGUUAAGUCCUAUAACGAGCGCAACCCCUACCGUUAGUUGCCAGCGAGUCAUGUCGGGGACUCUAACGGGACUGCCGGUGCAAACCGUGAGGAAGGUGGGGAUGACGUCAAAUCAUCACGGCCCUUACGUCCUGGGCCACACACGUGCUACAAUGGCCGGUACAGAGAGCAGCCAUCUGGCAACAGAGAGCGAAUCUACAAAACCGGUCACAGUUCGGAUCGGGGUCUGCAACUCGACAACGUGAAGAUGGAAUCGCUAGUAAUCGGAUAUCAGACAUGAUCCGGUGAAUACGUUACCGGGAAUUGUACACACCGCCCGUCAAGCCAUGGAAGCCGGGAGUGCCUGAAGUCCGUCACCGCAAGGAGCGGCCUAGGGCAAGAUCGGUAACUAGGGCUAAGUCGGAACAAGGUAGCC